rnacentral:rRNA from 1 species
GACGAACGCUGGCGGCGUGCUUAACACAUGCAAGUCGAACGGAAAGGCCCUGCUUUUGUGGGGUGCUCGAGUGGCGAACGGGUGAGUAACACGUGAGUAACCUGCCCUUGACUUUGGGAUAACUUCAGGAAACUGGGGCUAAUACCGGAUAGGAGCUCCUGCUGCAUGGUGGGGGUUGGAAAGUUUCGGCGGUUGGGGAUGGACUCGCGGCUUAUCAGCUUGUUGGUGGGGUAGUGGCUUACCAAGGCUUUGACGGGUAGCCGGCCUGAGAGGGUGACCGGCCACAUUGGGACUGAGAUACGGCCCAGACUCCUACGGGAGGCAGCAGUGGGGAAUAUUGCACAAUGGGCGGAAGCCUGAUGCAUCAACGCCGCGUGCGGGAUGACGGCCUUCGGGUUGUAAACCGCUUUCGCCUGUGACGAAGCGUGAGUGACGGUAAUGGGUAAAGAAGCACCGGCUAACUACGUGCCAGCAGCCGCGGUGAUACGUAGGGUGCGAGCGUUGUCCGGAUUUAUUGGGCGUAAAGGGCUCGUAGGUGGUUGAUCGCGUCGGAAGUGUAAUCUUGGGGCUUAACCCUGAGCGUGCUUUCGAUACGGGUUGACUUGAGGAAGGUAGGGGAGAAUGGAAUUCCUGGUGGAGCGGUGGAAUGCGCAGAUAUCAGGAGGAACACCAGUGGCGAAGGCGGUUCUCUGGGCCUUUCCUGACGCUGAGGAGCGAAAGCGUGGGGAGCGAACAGGCUUAGAUACUCUGGUAGUCCACGCUGUAAACGGUGGGUACUAGGUGUGGGGUCCAUUCCACGGGUUCCGUGCCGUAGCUAACGCUUUAAGUACCCCGCCUGGGGAGUACGGCCGCAAGGCUAAAACUCAAAGGAAUUGACGGGGCCCCGCACAAGCGGCGGAGCAUGCGGAUUAAUUCGAUGCAACGCGUAGAACCUUACCUGGGUUUGACAUGGAUCGGGAGUGCUCAGAGAUGGGUGUGCCUCUUUUGGGGUCGGUUCACAGGUGGUGCAUGGCUGUCGUCAGCUCGUGUCGUGAGAUGUUGGGUUAAGUCCCGCAACGAGCGCAACCCUUGUUCACUGUUGCCAGCACGUUAUGGUGGGGACUCAGUGGAGACCGCCGGGGUCAACUCGGAGGAAGGUGGGGAUGACGUCAAGUCAUCAUGCCCCUUAUGUCCAGGGCUUCACGCAUGCUACAAUGGCUGGUACAGAGAGUGGCGAGCCUGUGAGGGUGAGCGAAUCUCGGAAAGCCGGUCUCAGUUCGGAUUGGGGUCUGCAACUCGACCUCAUGAAGUCGGAGUCGCUAGUAAUCGCAGAUCAGCAGCGCUGCGGUGAAUACGUUCCCGGGGCU